GUACCAGACGCCGAACCGGAUCGGCAGCAGUCUGUAAAGCUGUGGCUCUUGCGAGCGUGGGGGUUCGAGUCCCCCCUGGUGCA
rnacentral:tRNA from 1 species